rnacentral:rRNA from 1 species
UGCUAGUUGAGCGCACAGAACUAUGUCUGUGAGCGGCACACUGCUCAGUAACACGUAGCUAACCUACCCUUAGGACGUGGACAACCCCGAGAAAUUGGGGCAAAUCCGCGAUAGAUGUAUUGUCCUGGAAUGGUAUUACGUCUAAAGGUAUCCCAUACAUGUUUGGUAUACGCCUAAGGAUGGGGCUGCGGCCGAUCAGGCUGUUGGUGAGGUAAUGGCUCACCAAACCUUUGACCGGUACGGGCCAUGAGGGUGGUAGCCCGGAGAUGGACACUGAGACAAGGGUCCAGGCCCUACGGGGCGCAGCAGGCGCGAAACCUCCUCAAUGCACUUACGUGCGAAGGGGCUACCUCGAGUGCCACCUGAUGAAGGUGGCUUUUCCUAGGUCUACAAAGCCUUGGGAAUAAGAGGGGGGCAAGACUGGUGUCAGCCGCCGCGGUAACACCAGCCCCUCGAGUGGUGGGGAUGAUUAUUGGGCCUAAAGCGUCCGUAGCCUGCCGAAUAAGUUUUCCGUUAAAUCCAGCGUCUCAAGCGUUGGACUGCGGGAAAUACUGUACGGCUAGAGAGUGGGAGAGGUCAGCGGUAUUCUGGGGGUAGGGGCGAAAUCCUUUGAUCCCCGGAGGACCACCAGUGGCGAAGGCUGCUGUCUAGAACACGUCUGACGGUCAGGGACGAAAGCUGGGGUAGCGAACCGGAUUAGAUACCCGGGUAGUCCCAGCCGUAAACGAUGCAUGCUAGGUGUUGGG